GCCGCUCUAGCUCAAUUGGUAGAGCAACUGUUUUGUAAACAGUAGGUUGUCGGUUCGAGUCCGACGAGCGGCU
rnacentral:tRNA from 1 species